UACAGAGGUGGCAAGCGUUGUUCGGAAUUACUGGGCGUAAAGGGCGAGUAGGCGGCCUUCUAAGUCAGACGUGAAAUCCCCCGGCUUAACCUGGGAACUGCGUCUGAUACUGGGAGGCUUGAGUAUGGGAGAGGGAUGUAGAAUUCCAGGUGAGCUGGUAGAAAUGCGCAGAUAGUCGGGAGGGAACACCCGUAGCGAAGGCGGCACUCUGGGCCGGCUACUGACGCUGAGGAGCGAAAGCGGUGGGGAGCAAACAGG
rnacentral:rRNA from 1 species